AGCAAACGCUGGCGGCGUGCCUAAUACAUGCAAGUCGAACGGGGAAAGUAGCAAUACGAGUACUAGUGGCGCACGGGUGAGGAACACGUGGGUAAUCUGCCUUCGAGCGGGGGAUAACUAGUCGAAAGAUUAGCUAAUACCGCAUAAGACCACAAUGUCUGCGGACAAAGGGGUAAAAGUCGCAAGACACUUGAAGAUGAGCCCGCGUAAGAUUAGCUAGUUGGUGAGGUAAUGGCUCACCAAGGCGAUGAUCUUUAGCUGGUCUGAGAGGAUGAUCAGCCACACUGGAACUGAGACACAGUCCAGACUCCGACGGGAGGCAGCAGUAGGGAAUAUUGCGCAAUGGGGGAAACCCUGACGCAGCGACGCCGCGUGAGUGAUGAAGGCCUUCGGGUCGUAAAGCUCUGUUAUAUGGGAAUAAGAUCUGAAUGUACCAUGUGAGAAAGGAUCGGCUAACUUCGUGCCAGCCGCCGCAGUAA
rnacentral:rRNA from 1 species